UGCAGUCGAACGGAAAGGCCCAGCUUGCUGGGUACUCGAGUGGCGAACGGGUGAGUAACACGUGGGUGAUCUGCCCUGCACUCUGGGAUAAGCCUGGGAAACUGGGUCUAAUACCGGAUAUGACCAACUGUCGCAUGGUGGUUGGUGGAAAGCUUUUGCGGUGUGGGAUGGGCCCGCGGCCUAUCAGCUUGUUGGUGGGGUAAUGGCCUACCAAGGCGACGACGGGUAGCCGACCUGAGAGGGUGAUCGGCCACACUGGGACUGAGACACGGCCCAGACUCCUACGGGAGGCAGCAGUGGGGAAUAUUGCACAAUGGGCGCAAGCCUGAUGCAGCGACGCCGCGUGAGGGAUGACGGCCUUCGGGUUGUAAACCUCUUUCACCAGGGACGAAGCGGAAGUGACGGUACCUGGAGAAGAAGCACCGGCCAACUACGUGCCAGCAGCCGCGGUAAUACGUAGGGUGCGAGCGUUGUCCGGAAUUACUGGGCGUAAAGAGCUCGUAGGCGGUUUGUCGCGUCGUCUGUGAAAUUCUGCAACUCAAUUGCAGGCGUGCAGGCGAUACGGGCAGACUUGAGUACUACAGGGGAGACUGGAAUUCCUGGUGUAGCGGUGAAAUGCGCAGAUAUCAGGAGGAACACCGGUGGCGAAGGCGGGUCUCUGGGUAGUAACUGACGCUGAGGAGCG
rnacentral:rRNA from 1 species